GAUUUUUAAUUAGAUUAAAUAUUGUAAUUGUUUGACAGCUCUAAUUAUUUUACAUCAUCGGAGACUGCGUUUUUAAAAAAAAAUAAUUAUUAUUUUUAAAAUUACAACUAGGGGUGAUAUGGGAUGGGAUAGGGAUUCCCAUUUAUUUGGUGUGCACGGUCAGGAAGACAGUCAAGUCAGCCGCAGAAAAGCCGCAAAAAUCAAUUAUGCUACGUAUGACAGUAAUACACUGUUAAUGAGGUGAGAAGGCCAAAUUAAAAAGCAAAUCUUACGAAAUCACAGUAAAUGGACCCUGACGCGGCUAAAUGCCCACCAGCCGGCGGGAAAGGAGGUGGGGUCUCACCGGAAGGUGAGGCGCCCAGUGCUCGCCCCGCCGGAGCAGAGGGGAAUGUGAGUAGCCGCCCCACAACUCUCCUGAAACAAUAAUCAGAUGAGGGCCCUGCGGGGACCCUCACUGGGUGUGAACCUCGCGAGGCGCCAGCUGAUUGCCCAGGACGAGGAGGAGGACAGCGCUCGCAGUAAACGACGACGCUCUUUGCCCACAGUUGCCCAUGCACGCUCCGGUGAGACAUCCAGAAAAGAUGUGUUCUUACAGCCGCUGUGAGACCUAACAGCCUAACAUCUUGGGUCUCAGACCAGGAAAUCGAUGUCACAAUCAAAAGAUGGCUACAUCUAGCUCCUGAUCGGGAUGGUGAGAGAAAA